rnacentral:rRNA from 1 species
AUCCAUGGCUAUACCACCCUGAACCAUCCAACCCUCAUCUCAUCUCAGAAGCUAAGCAGAGUUGAGUCUACUUAGUACUUGGAUAGGAGAAGAAGACAGGCUUGUGUGAGAGGGUAGUUUGGCUUGGGAG